UUAAGAAUCUUGCGCAAUGGGGGAAACCCUGACGCAGCGACGCCGCGUGGACGAUGAAGGCCUUCGGGUUGUAAAGUCCGAUAAGCGGGGAAGAAUAAGCAACGGGUAAUAUUCGUUGUGAUGACGGUACCUGCCUAAAGCCCCGGCUAACUACGUGCCAGCAGCCGCGGUAAUACGUGUGGGGCUAGCGUUGUUCGGAAUUAUUGGGCGUAAAGGGCGUCUAGGCGGGGGAUUAAGUUAGGUGUGAAAUCCCUGGGCUCAACCCAGGAACUGCAUCUAAAACGGGUUCUCUGGAGUGCGGGAGAGGGGAGCGGAAUUCCCGGUGUAGCGGUGAAAUGCGUAGAUAUCGGGAAGAACACCAGUGGCGAAGGCGGCUCUCUGGCCUAGAACUGACGCUGAAGCGCGAAAGCGUGGGGAGCGAACG
rnacentral:rRNA from 1 species